UGCUGUUAUUUCAAGCGGAGUAUAAGAUUUACCUCCCUUGACUCUCCUUCAAUGACCUCACCGAGUUGCUGACCUCAUUCCAACAGACCAACUAAAACUGUCCGCAUCCAACCAUUCAACUGUUGCCAUCCAGCUACGGCUUAUGCUUGGACACCGCCAUUAAUGAUUGUGAAAAUGAAGUAUUUGCACUAAUAGCCAUUCUCACAUAUAAGAAUUCCGUUAUAAACAAGAAAUUCCAGGAGCUUUUCAACAGCAGUUACAGCACAAGGCCCAAAAUUUUUGGGGAGGAGGCCAGUCGAUUAGAUCGACCCCAGUACGCAAC